UCAAUUUUUAUAAUGAUAGGGUUUAAAAAAGUUUAAUUUGAAAAUUUUUAUGGUAAAGUGGGAUUGAAUGUUGGGAAUUGGCAUGACAUGCAUGUACUUGAAUAUUGUAGUACAUGUGAUUAGUGUUUGGUGUGGGUUGGAUAAUUUCUUUAUUAGUUUAAUUUUCUGAAGUGCAUUGAUUAUUAUGUGUUUUAUGUGAUGCUUUUGAAAUGUUUGUUUUGUUUUUUUUUUUUGUUUGCUUAACAUUGAAUUUGUUAUUUGUGUCUGUUUUAUUUUUAUCAGGUUUAAUGAUAGGAUAAAUAUUUUUGAGCCUUGGUAUAAAUUUAUAGAUCCAAUUAAUAUUAGGCUUAUGUAUGGUGGUGAAUUUGUAACUAAAAGGGGGAAAACAACAUAUGAGAAGGGGAACAACAGUUACGAUAUAUAGACUGAGCUUAUAUCCCAGUGUGCCUGAAGUUUGCUAUUUUGAAUUUGUGCAUUGGAUAAAAAGUGAGUUAGGUUAUGAUGAGGUUGGGGAGAUUUGGUAUAGGAGGAAAGGGUGUACUACUUUGUACUAUGGCAGAAAACAAAUCUUAAGUGAAAAUGAUAUACCAGAUUUUUUAGAAGUAAAAGAACCAGAUGGUUUGUACAUAUUGUACUUGUAUCAUCCUCCCAAAGACUUAGCUGUUGAAAAAGCAAGACUUAGGUAUAGACCAACGGUGGGUUUUUACACAUAUUUAGAUGUUUCAAGUGAUGGAACCUUUACCAAACAUGAGUCUCACAUUGAAAAAAAGAGAAAAUUGUGACUUUAUAAGGGUAAGGCCAGGGUUACUCACCUCAUGGAAUCUUCUUGCUCGUAUAAAGUGGACAAUCGUGACGGGUGUGGCCUAGGCCUGUUUAUCAAAAAUAAUGAUUGUGAUUAAUCAACACUAGUAGAAAAAUAGAAAUUGGCACCGAGCAAUGGCCACCGGUUUUUGAGAACCGGUGGCAAAAAAAAUGGGGAAAAAUCGGCGAGAUCAUGAGGAAAGGGUAUUGCCACCGGUUCAAACCGAAUCGGUGGGGAAAUUAUUAAUGCCACCGGUUUAAAAUCGGUGGCUCUGUCUUUACAAAAAAAACCGCCCCUUCAUAAACCCUAACCCUAUCACUCUCCUCUCUACAACCUCCCCUCCUAUCCCUUCUCUCUGCUGCUCUCCCCCUCUCUUCUCUCUCGUGCGAUCUCCCCUCACUUCUCUCCUGCGAUCUCCCCUCACCACUUCUCUCUCAUUCUCAACAACCAUCAUCGCCGCCGCCAUCUAUCUCUCAUCUUCUUCUCUCUCGUUAUCUCUCUUGCCGUAGUUAGGGCUCAGUUGCAAAAUCGAAAAUCUCCCCUAAAACCAUAAAACACAGGCGAAAGCUCAACAAUGGCGGACGGGUCGAAGAAUCUGGCGCCGAACGCUUUUCCCCGUAGUUUCUCUCUCCUCCAUUUAUGUAAUAGCUUAAUCUGACCUAAUUUUUUGUGCAAUUUUUGGUGAUUUUGAUUUGAAUUUGUGAAAUUUUCUCAGCGAAAUUGAAUACGAAGAGAAAACGGUGAAUUUGAUUCAGCGAAUCGACUUCGCGUGGGCGUUGGAGAGAGAUGCGAAGAAGCAGAAGAUGAAGGAAUCAUCUGCACUAACUUAAAGUUUGAAUAGCUGCAAAAACGACUAGACAACCCUUUGCAACCCCCACUACCUUGAUGGCAUUACACAGUCAUUGUAUUUUGAUUUUGCUGUUGAGUCUAUGAAGAUCGUUGAAUUGCUUGCAGGUCCACAAAGAGGGACAAUUGCAUUUAUCGCUUGAUUGGAGUGGUGGAGCAUUCUAGAUCAAUGUCAGAGGAGGUGACAAAAGAGAAAAUAUACGAGGACUAUUGGAAGAUUUUAUCUAUACGCAAGGUUGCUGUUGCCUCGCCAAGGCUAUUACAUUGGUGUGACUUAGCUUGUAUUUAACAGUGACUAGUAUUUUUUUUUAAGUUUUUUGGACCAAAAUUGUAAUAUUACAGCCUUUUUUUUAAUGAAAAUA